rnacentral:lncRNA from 1 species
CACUUGCCUUCCUGUGUGAAAUUAUAGAAAAGUAGGAGACAGUGUCUCCACCCGAUUCUUAUCCUUCAUCAUUUCCAGGGAAGGGAUAAAGACAAGCACACACCUCGAUCUCAUGCAGGCAGGAAGGCUGCCUGGAACCUCUCCCCUCUAAGGACAGUUUUGGAGGAGGACAAGCCUGCUGUGGAGAAUGGAUAAGACAAGCAUGAGCCAAUGGUAUGCACAGAAGGAGAAGAUAACUCCAAGGUACCAAGGCAGCAAUCGCCACCAGAGUCUCCUGGACCAGAGAAAGAUACUUCCCUAAGUAGAAUGAGCCCACCAGGUCCUCUCAUCAACUACUGCUCGGAACCAUGUUGACAACUCCAGAAACAAACCUAGUUUGUAAAAAAAAAAAAAAAAAAAAAAAAAAAAAAAAAAAAAAAAAAAAAAACCAAACAAACAAAAGACAAAACAAACCCAAAAA